rnacentral:rRNA from 1 species
GAUCUGGCUCAGGAUGAACGCUAGCGACAGGCUUAACACAUGCAAGUCGAGGGGCAUCAUGAGGUAGCAAUACCUUGAUGGCGACCGGCGCACGGGUGAGUAACGCGUAUGCAACCUGCCUGAUACCGGGGUAUAGCCCAUGGAAACGUGGAUUAACACCCCAUAGUACUUUUAUCCUGCCUGGGAUGGGAGUUAAAUGUUCAAGGUAUCGGAUGGGCAUGCGUCCUAUUAGUUAG